GUGGAUUUUCCUUUUCCUCCUAUCUCGUAAAACAGACAAAGAAAAAUAGGCAGAUGAAGUAGAUAAAGCGUCGAAGGGUUCUCAAUCGCUGAUAUUUCAUUUCGCUGACACGAGGCUCUAGGGAGUUUUUUCUUUGAUUGUGGCUGUUCCGCUAAUCCUCGGAUAUCUAACAUAGAUCUUUUUGUCCUGAAACAGCAAAUUGCUAUAGUUAAACGAUAGAUAUCUUGAAUCUACCGCUUGUUGCUUUCAUGUAAACUUUGCUAUAGUCUAGCGUGUUGUUCGAAGAUCCUGAAAAAAUAAUUGAACAGCUUUCUGGAAAGGAAACUCGUAAGACAUAACGGUGAAUUAGAAAAUUGUAUCGCAAGCCUUGGUUCUUGUUUUCCAAUAUUAGCUACUGCUUUAAAUAAACGCGUGAUCGUCGAGCUAACGAGGAUCUUAGAAAGAUGCCACGAAUGCCAUCGUGAUAAUCGUAAUAAAAAUUCUUAAACCGUCUUGUUUUGCGUUUACAAAUUUCAUAAUAAUCCGACUCUUUCAUCAUAAGAUACAUUAACUGGCCAUGUAUUUAUCGUAGAUGUGUAUCCCAUUUUUUUCUGAAAACUACUCAAUUAUGUAAGUAUAAUAAAAUCUAAAAACGUAUAUCCUGGUUGAUUUUCGUGUUUCCGUUCUAGAGAUACCAGUUCUCGAGGAUUUUGUGAUUUGUAUAUAAAAAGGAAAGUUUCUGGUGACCAGAAAUGGUAGGAUAGGUGAAACUGGUUUCUAGUUUGGCGUUCGGAAGGACUCGUCCGGUGAGAAGGACCUGCUUGCUCUUUUUGCUGUUUCGAUUCGGCUUCCUCAGCUUCGUUGUUGGGGUUGCUCGAGGAUACUUCUGUGGACAGAGUAGCUUUGUUACAAGCGACUGAAGAGGUUUAAAAGCUAUCGGAGUGCGCAAUGGUUGUGCGCAAUUUGUUUAAAUAUGUUUGCGAAGAUUCUGAGAUAGAUUCGUGUAAGAGGAUGGCUAUCACGAUUUUGCUAAUCUGCGCAGUUGAUUCUCACUUCCAGCUUGUACAGAAAUAGCGGCGACGUUUUGGAACGCGUUAGGGGAUUGAGAAAGGUCGGGAUCUUCCCGGUUUCACGUUCAUGGGGUCCGAGUUUCACGUUUGAGAAAAUUCACAUAACCUCUUACGAAAUUCCUACUCUAAGUUGCAACUUGAUUUUGUUACGUUCGAUAGAAUUCAUCAAGCAAUAUAUUAUUAUAACAUUAUUACAUGUUAAAUUUUUGAAAUUUCAUAGAAAUGUAGAAUUCUUUUUUACAGCGACAAUUGCUAAAAAGCAGAAUUUGAUAACGUAAAUUGUUUGAAAAACAUGGCGGACGAAAUGUAUUAACGCAACGUUGGCCCUCGCUGGUUUAUGUGACAAACUUUCUACCGUAGAAAAUUCUUAAUUUAUUUCUCUUUUUUCGUAUAAUUUGCAGCAUUAACAAAUGCUAAAUUUUAAAAUCAUCAUUCAUGGUAUUUUUUCUAGCACCACGAUCGUGCGUUUAUUUAAAGCAGUUCAAAAUUGCAGAAAUAGUAAAUCGGUAAACAAAAUCGUCUGCCAAGAACAAUUAUUAGAAGCAAUAAAUCCGACACAUCGGUCUGAGCUUUGUAUCUUUCCAAAAUAUUACAAUUUCGAGUAUUUCAAUUCCGUUACUGGAUACCUUUUCGUUCUUAAAUAAUAUGGCGGCAAAAUCGACAAAGAAUAGUAAAUCGCGAGCAACUCAUUCGUUGAAGAUGGCAGUUCGAACGACGGGCUUUGCGACGAUUCUAAGAAAGAGCUGUUCGACCUAUAUUUCGUCGUUGAAAAGGAAAACACCGAGGAGCAUUCAUCGAAAGAUUCUCUGUUCAGUGAUUCGUGACUGUUCGAUAUUGCUUUUGAUUAAUUGCUUCCUUUGCAUGGGUUUCUCUCGCACGAUCGAUCAACCAUUUCUCGAUCCUAACCUUGCUUCGCCAUUCCAAUAAAAAUCUACACGCGUGAAAGUAUGUACAGUGGCUAGAAAGAAUAUUUCUACGUACCCUUAGUCUGCAAAGAAGCGUUUUGUAAUUUUAUUUUAAGGUUCUACGUUUUAUUUUCAUAGUAUCAGAUUUUCGUAAUGAAAGUAUAUAUUUCCAAAUGACUAUACUACAAAUGGAAUAAUAAAUGCAAUGGCAUACAAAUACUUGUUAUAGUCACCGUGUAUGAAAUAGAAUUGGAAGAAACAAAGAAACGUAUCGAAAGUCUAAAAUUCUUCUCUGAGAUCAAAAUUUGUAUUAGAUCAGGUUAGGUUACGUAAGGCGUUUGGAACGUGCAUAUUUCGGAAAAGAGGAACUUUGGCCUAUUUAUAACGAGUACAAUUACACAAAGUGAAAAUCAUUAUGCACCUGAGCACAACAAUUUCCAAUUUGGCAACACCAAACUAAGUCGAGCAGAAUAAGUUAUAAAUAAGUGGAAAAUUGCAUGAAACCAUCCGAGAUUCGAAGUGGUGUAUUUACUUCAGAUCGUAUGAACGAAUUCGAAUUAAAUAGAAAAAUGACAUUUUAUAAAAUAGAAAAGGAGAAAUUUUGAAAUAAGAAGAAAAUCAGACGUUUUAAAGGAAAUAAGAAGCUAAGACGAUGCAUCGAACGAAGGGAAGCUCGCGGAACGUGUUUAUAGUUACCACCCACGACGAGAUUCUAUAUCUACGUGGAUGAGUAAUCUCAGCAGGCAGCUCGAUGAAAUAAUCGAUGCAUCGGGACCGUUCGAUUACCCCUAGUCUUUUAUUUCUUCACGAAAAUUCAAUUCUCACGAGAUACAGAUUUACAUCGUUGGCGUAGCGCACAGUGCACGAUAAACAAAGCUUGCUUUGUAGCUUCAGAUGACGUCCAUUUUUCCGCAAAAACAUAAACCUCGUGUUGGCUACGUUCAUCUAGAGUCAGACGCACGCCAACGCUUCAUCCAGUGUUGCACAUGCCGCUUGCAACCGAUUCUUGCCACUGCCGCAAAAAAUAUUGCUUGGACGUCAGUCAACGGCGAAAUUUUCGUUCGCAUGAGUGUUCGUCUUUAGACGUUUUGUUAGACACAGAGUAGUCUUCAACACGCGUCCGGUAUCCCAAGGCUAAACAUCGAUGAGAUAUGAACUUUGAAAAAACUCCACUGUACAUAGAAUAUUACAAAGACCAAUUAUGACAUAACCUAGAGCCUUUGAAAUAUGCAAACUUUCUUUCUUCCAAACAAUGAAUAUCUCAUGGAAACUCCUGCAAUGUAGCUCGAUAUAAAUUUGCUCCCCGGUAUAUGAUUUUGUGAUAGCAACUCUAACCUAUUUGCACAGUGAAACUUUUCCUAAAAAGAAAGAAGGUCAUAAAUUCGUGUAAAGCUUACGUAGACGCCAUCUUUUUCUCGUUCUUCAUCGGUGAAAAGAAAAUAAGUAACAAACCUUGUAUUAUUUAACAUCGUUAUAACGGAACCAGAGCUUUACCAGCAGAAUUCCAAAUUUUAAUUACAUUCCUAUUCACAAA